rnacentral:tRNA from 1 species
UGCGGGGUCGUCUAAUGGUAGUGACGCCUCCCUUUGGAGGAGGAUGUGAAGGUUCGACUCCUUCCCCCGCAG